rnacentral:rRNA from 1 species
GCUGGCGGCGUGCCUCAGACAUGCAAGUCGAACGCGAAAUUUCCCUUCGGGGAGAAAGUAGAGUGGCGCACGGGUGAGUAACACGUAGGUAAUUUACCUUCGGGUGGGGAAUAACAGCCGGAAACGGCUGCUAAUACCGCAUAAUGCAGCGGCUCGACAUCGAGACAGUUGUUAAAGCGGGGGAUCGCAAGACCUCGCGCCUGAAGAGAAGCCUGCGGCAGAUUAGCUAGUUGGUAGGGUAAUGGCCUACCAAGGCGACGAUCUGUAACCGGCCUGAGAGGGCGGUCGGUCACACUGACACUGACAUACGGGUCAGACUCCUACGGGAGGCAGCAGUCGGGAAUUUUGGGCAAUGGGCGAAAGCCUGACCCAGCAACGCCGCGUGAAGGAUGAAAUCCCUCGGGAUGUAAACUUCGCAAGAAUGGGAAGAAUAAGUGCGAGCUAAUACCUCGCAUGAUGACGGUACUAUUUGUAAGCUCCGGCUAACUCCGUGCCAGCAGCCGCGGUAAUACGGGGGGAGCAAGCGUUGUUCGGAUUUACUGGGCGUAAAGGGCGCGUA